GACGAACGCUGGCGGCGUGCUUAACACAUGCAAGUCGAACGGAAAGGCCCUGCUUUUGUGGGGUGCUCGAGUGGCGAACGGGUGAGUAACACGUGAGUAACCUGCCCUUGACUUUGGGAUAACUUCAGGAAACUGGGGCUAAUACCGGAUAGGAGCUCCUGCUGCAUGGUGGGGGUUGGAAAGUUUCGGCGGUUGGGGAUGGACUCGCGGCUUAUCAGCUUGUUGGUGGGGUAGUGGCUUACCAAGGCUUUGACGGGUAGCCGGCCUGAGAGGGUGACCGGCCACAUUGGGACUGAGAUACGGCCCAGACUCCUACGGGAGGCAGCAGUGGGGAAUAUUGCACAAUGGGCGGAAGCCUGAUGCAGCGACGCCGCGUGCGGGAUGACGGCCUUCGGGUUGUAAACCGCUUUCGCCUGUGACGAAGCGUGAGUGACGGUAAUGGGUAAAGAAGCACCGGCUAACUACGUGCCAGCAGCCGCGGUGAUACGUAGGGUGCGAGCGUUGUCCGGAUUUAUUGGGCGUAAAGGGCUCGUAGGUGGUUGAUCGCGUCGGAAGUGUAAUCUUGGGGCUUAACCCUGAGCGUGCUUUCGAUACGGGUUGACUUGAGGAAGGUAGGGGAGAAUGGAAUUCCUGGUGGAGCGGUGGAAUGCGCAGAUAUCAGGAGGAACACCAGUGGCGAAGGCGGUUCUCUGGGCCUUUCCUGACGCUGAGGAGCGAAAGCGUGGGGAGCGAACAGGCUUAGAUACCCUGGUAGUCCACGCUGUAAACGGUGGGUACUAGGUGUGGGGUCCAUUCCACGGGUUCCGUGCCGUAGCUAACGCUUUAAGUACCCCGCCUGGGGAGUACGGCCGCAAGGCUAAAACUCAAAGGAAUUGACGGGGCCCCGCACAAGCGGCGGAGCAUGCGGAUUAAUUCGAUGCAACGCGUAGAACCUUACCUGGGUUUGACAUGGAUCGGGAGCGCUCAGAGAUGGGUGUGCCUCUUUUGGGGUCGGUUCACAGGUGGUGCAUGGCUGUCGUCAGCUCGUGUCGUGAGAUGUUGGGUUAAGUCCCGCAACGAGCGCAACCCUUGUUCACUGUUGCCAGCACGUUAUGGUGGGGACUCAGUGGAGACCGCCGGGGUCAACUCGGAGGAAGGUGGGGAUGACGUCAAGUCAUCAUGCCCCUUAUGUCCAGGGCUUCACGCAUGCUACAAUGGCUGGUACAGAGAGUGGCGAGCCUGUGAGGGUGAGCGAAUCUCGGAAAGCCGGCCUCAGUUCGGAUUGGGGUCUGCAACUCGACCUCAUGAAGUCGGAGUCGCUAGUAAUCGCAGAUCAGCAACGCUGCGGUGAACACGUUCCCGGG
rnacentral:rRNA from 1 species